CACGUGCCACAUGAUGAAGUCAAUGCCGGAAAAUGUGGUCAAUGUCCAAUUUCCGACCUAAGGUCCUAGUCAACAAAAAAAGGUUCAUUAAGGUCUCAAAUGUUCACUUUUCUAUAAAAGGUCAUUUCUCACAAAGUCUACCUUAUAAAAUGUCCUUUAUGACAAACCUCCUAAUUAUUAUUCUUAUUAUUAUUUUUAUUUUAGCUCAGUUAAUUUAAUUUAAUUUCAAUUCAAUUAAUUUAAUUAAAUUAAUUUCAGUUCAAGAACAUUUAAUGAACUAAUUUCAAUUCCAUUAAUUUCAGUCCAAAAGAAAAUGAACUAAGUAACCCCCGACACUAGCCGUUUUAGGGCGAGUUUAUCCCCAGUUUUGAGGGAGUCUGGAAGAAAGUCUGGAGCCAGACUCUUGGGAUGAUGUGGUAAAUGACUACAACAGGUCUAAAGCGAUCAAGUUUAAAAAUUCAAGACUCAUUUAAGACUCUAGCUACCUUUUCUCCAACCAAAUCAAAUUAUCUUAUUUAGAAGUUUAGUUGAGUUUGAGGCGAGUCUGGAGGAUAAUGUAUAAUUAAAAUAGGGAGAGUCUUGUGUGAGUUUGAAUAAUGAAAAAAGUAGGUAAAAAUUAGUGAAAAGCUAAUAUGGAAGAGUCAAAGGAUUGAGGUUGAGUUUGAAGGAUAAACACAUUCUUACCAACAACCACCCAACCCAACCACAGGUAGGGGUGAGCAAAACCGGAUCCGAUCUGGUUUUGUAAACUUGAGAUACCCGAUUUUUAGGAUCACAAAAAUAAUUAUUUAUUGUAUCCAACUCGGUUUAAGUGGAUAUCCGACUUUUGGAUACUUGGUUUAACCGAUCAAAAGUUCGGAUCCGAAUCUGAUUUAUGCAAAAUUAAUUUUUAAUACCUUGCAAAUAAGCCAUUUAAUUAUUUUUUCCCUAAUAAUCGUCAUAAGUUCGUUGUAAAUUAACUAUACUUAUAGUAUCCAAAAUCAUGUACACGAUAAUUGUAAGUUUAAUUACCUUAGAGCAUCUUUAAGGUAAGCAAAUUGAUAAGUUGUUUUUAUUUGGCAUGUCCGAUUUUCAAGCUAAUAUUUUUUCAUGAGUAUUUUACUCAAAUGGUUAGCAAGUUGCUUGAAAUUUUUUAACCAUUUUUUAAAUUUAUUUUUAUGAUUCAAUUCACAACUUUAUCAAAUAAACAAAAAAUUUCCCGUUGUUUUUUUCCCAAGCUAAUUAGCUUUGUAGAGCUAAUUUGCUUAACUUGGCUAAUUGCUCAUAUGUACUCCAAUGGUUGACUAGUAGUUAGAAAUUUUAUGAAAAUUGCAAGCUAGUCCCUACAUGUAACCAUUGGAGAUGCUCUUAGCAUGCAAGAGUUUUUUUUUUCAUAGAGUUUAUUUUUCUUUGGUACUCCUAUUUCAACAUUUAUUAAUCGCAAAUAAUAUAACACGUAGUGUUUUAGUAUUUAACUAUUUUCUUAUAGACUUAUAUUUUUGUUUUUUAUUUCAUACGGAGUACGUAACUUUCUAUUUUUUUUGAUAACGAGUACGUAACUUUAUAUGUUGUUAUUUAAGACUCCAAACUUUAAUUUUUUUUAUAACAUUGCAAAUUUCAAAUUGGACCCGGAUAUACAAAUUUUAAAAAUCGUGAUCCAUAUCCGAUCCAAUUUUUUCUCAAAAAUCCGAAAUUAGGUAUCUAAUCCGAUCCACAUAUCCAAAAAUUCUGAUAUUUCACCCGGAUAGAGAUAAAAAAUAUGAAUAUCCAUUAAUUCCUCAGUUAAUUAAUUUUGGGGACCAGCUGUCUGAACGAAAACGUAUAAAUUAGGCUAAGCGCCCUCAAAUCCUUCACCUGUACAUCUCUCUAUUUUUCUCUAUCGCGCGCACACACAUUUCUUCUGCUUCGCUACCAUUGUCGCUAUCUUGCUCCCUCAAAGUCUCAGUCAGACUCAACAAUGGAGGAGGAGGUCGACGAAACUGAAUUUCAAUCUCAGGUCUACAUGGCAUUUGUCAUGCAUGGUCACAGAGUUGGAAUUUCCUAUUAUGAUUCUAGUAUUCGACAACUUAGUGUUCUAGAAGUUUGGGAGGAUGGUGCAGAUUAUCCACUGAUUGAUCUGGUGAAAUAUCAGGCACAACCUUUAAUUAUCUACACCAGCACCAAAAUCGAAGAAUCGUUCUUAUUAGCUUUACAGAGAAAUGAUGGAAUAAACUUCACUCCCACAGUGAAACUUAUGAAAAGUACAAUAUUUAGCUAUGAACAAGCUUGGAAUAGAUUGAUAUAUCUCAGAGUUUCGGGAAUGGAUGACGGAUUAAGUGUCAAAGAGAGAAUUACUUUUCUUAGUUCUAUGAUGGAUAUUGCAAGUGAGGUUCAAGUUCGUGCUAGUGGGGGCCUUCUUGCAAUAUUAGAGAAUGAAAGGAUUGUAGAUACCCUUGAACCAAAGGAGUAUGGCGAUGCGUCGAUUGCUAUUGAUUGUCUAACGGAGGUUUCACUAAAUAAUUUUCUUAAACUUGACGCAGCAGCUCAUGAAGCAUUACAAAUUUUCCAAAUAGACAAACAUCCAAGCCAUAUGGGUAUUGGUCGAGCAAAAGAAGGGUUCUCUGUUUUCGGAAUGAUGAAUAAGUGUGUUUCACCAAUGGGUCGACGUCUCCUGAGAAACUGGUUCCUCCGACCCAUACUCGACGCUGAAAUUUUAAACAGUCGACUUGAUGCUAUAUCUUUUUUCUUAUGUUCGGAAGAGCUUAUGGUAUCUAUACGAGGAACACUUAAAUCCAUAAAAGAUGUACCCUACAUACUGAAGAAAUUCAAUUCCCCAAGCUCUGUAAGCACAACCAGUGACUGGGCAGCUUUUCUGAAGAGCCUUUCUUCCCUCCUCCACCUGAACAAGAUAUUUGAAGUUGGCAUUUCUGAAAAUUUAAGGGGACAGGCCAAUCAUUUUUGUCUGGAUAUUGUUGACAAGGCAGCUUCAUGCAUUACAACAGAGCUCUCUUAUAUCUAUGAACUGGUUAUUGGCAUCAUCGAUGUUACUAGAGAAAAAGAGAGAGGUUAUGGGACAAUUGUCAAAGAGGGUUUUUGUGAAGAGCUGGAUGAGUUGAGACAAAUAUACGAGGAGCUGCCAGAACUUCUGGAAGAGGUGUCGAGUCUCGAGCUUGCACGACUACCUAAUUUGCAUCACGGCGAGUGUGUUCCUUGUAUUGUUUACAUACACCAAAUAGGAUACUUGCUGUGCAAAUUUGAAGAAAAACUUGAUGAAUGCACACUACAGAAUCUUGAAGAUCUUGAAUUUGCUUUUUCUGAUGGUGAAAAUGAGCCAAAAAGGUUCUUCUAUCGUACCUCAAAGACACGGGAGUUGGACAACCUUCUUGGGGACAUAUAUCACAAAAUUCUGGACAUGGAGAGGGUGAUUACAAGGGACCUGAUAUCACAUGUUCUCUUAUUCUCAACGCAUUUGCUAAAAGCUAUGAACUUUGCAGCAGAGCUUGACUGCCUUUUGUCUUUGGCAUUGGUUGCUCAACAAAACAACUACGUAAGGCCCAAUUUGACUACUGAUGCCAUACUGGAUAUACAAAAUGGAAGACAUGUUUUGCAGGAAAUGACAGUGGAUACAUUUAUUCCAAAUGACACUAAAAUACUUGAUGAAGGAAAAAUUAAUAUCAUAACUGGACCUAACUAUUCUGGGAAAAGCAUCUAUAUAAAACAGGUAGCUUUGAUUGUUUUCCUCUCUCACAUUGGCAGUUUUGUACCUGCGGAUGCUGCUGUGGUAGGAUUAACUGACAGGAUAUUUUGUGCAAUGGGAAGCAAACUCAUGGCUGCCGAACAGUCUACAUUUAUGAUUGAUCUACAGCAAGUGGGCAUGAUGUUGAGGCAAGCUACAUCACGGUCUUUAUGCCUCUUGGAUGAAUUCGGUAAAGGCACACUAACAGAAGAUGGCAUUGGUCUGCUUGGUGGAACUGUGAACUAUUUUGCUGGUAAUGAUAAUACUCCAAAGGUUUUUGUUUGCACUCAUUUGACUGAAAUUUUUCACGAGAACUUGCUGCCAAAGUCUGAGAAAAUAAACUUCUACACCAUGAGUGUGCUGAGACCUGAGGAAAGCAGUAUGCCUGCGGAAGACAUUGUUUUUCUGUAUAGUGAGAAGAUUGAAAGCUUUAUCUCUGUAUAGCAUGAUGUGUGAACUAAUUGUUUCCUGAAUAUGCAAAACAGAUUAGUUCCAGGACAAGCACACUUGAGUUACGGGCUACAUUGUGCAAUGCUUGCUGGU